CAGUCACCAUUUGGUGGGAUGAACUUUGAGACAAAUGUGUUAAGUUCCAGUGUGACAACCAAGUGGUGGUGGCGGCAAUGAUCAUUCGCCAGUCCUCCAGGAGGACAGAUUUCAGCAUCUAGCCCUGCAGGCAAACACCAGUCUGGAUCCAUUCCCUCAAGAGCUGUGAAGCCUUGGAAGGCAGAAGUAAUACAAGGGGUAUUUAACUCAGUAGUCCCCACAACCCUGCAACCUUAUCGCUCAGCUAUGGAUUCCUUUGUUUCAUUCCUGGGGCAG